GUUAAGAUAUCUUAAAUUUAAAGUAUAAUAUUGAAGAUAUUAUUAUGGGCUACCCUCUUAACU
rnacentral:tRNA from 1 species